AUUGAACGCUGGCGGCAGGCCUAACACAUGCAAGUCGAACGAGUGGCGGACGGGUGCGUAAUGUCUGGGAAACUGCCUGAUUGCGGGGGAUAACUACUGGAAACGGUAGCUAAUACCGCAUACCAUCCGAUGUUCCCAGAUGGGAUUAGCUAGUUGUGGGGGUAACGUCUCACCAAUGCGACGAUCCAUAGCUGGUCUGAGAGGAUGACCAGCGACACUGCAACGGAGACACGGGCCAGACUCCUACGGGAGGCAGCAGUGGGGAAUAUUGCACAAUGGGCGCAAGCCUGAUGCAGCCAUGCCGCGUGUAUGAAGAAGGCCUUCGGGUUGUAAAGUACUUUCAGCGGGGAGGCGUUACCCGCAGAAGAAGCACCGGCUAACUCCGUGCCAGCAGCCGCGGUAAUAC
rnacentral:rRNA from 1 species